AUUGAACGCUGGCGGCAGGCCUAACACAUGCAAGUCGAGCGAGCGGCGGACGGGUGAGUAAUGUAUGGGGACUGCACGAUAGAGGGGGAUAACUACUGGAAACGGUGGCUAAUACCGCAUACUAUCGGAUAACCCAUAUGGGAUUAGCUAGUAGGUGGGGUAAAGGCUCAACUAGGCGCCGAUCCCUAGCUGGUCUGAGAGGAUGAUCAGCCACACUGGAACUGAGAGACGGCCCAUACUCCGACGGAGGCAGCAGUGGGGAAUAUUGGAAAAUGGGCGCAAGCCUGAUGCAGCCAUGCCGCGUGUAUGAAGAAGGCCUUAGGGUUGUAAAGUACUUUCAGCGGGGAGGCGUUACCCAAAGAAGAAGCACCGGCUAACUCCGUGCCAGCAGCCGCGGUAAUUC
rnacentral:rRNA from 1 species